AUUGAACGCUGGCGGCAGGCUUAACACAUGCAAGUCGAGCGGGGUGAUGGUGCUUGCACUAUCACUUAGCGGCGGACGGGUGAGUAAUGCUUAGGAAUCUGCCUAUUAGUGGGGGACAACAUCUCGAAAGGGAUGCUAAUACCGCAUACGUCCUACGGGAGAAAGCAGGGGAUCACUUGUGACCUUGCGCUAAUAGAUGAGCCUAAGUCGGAUUAGCUAGUUGGUGGGGUAAAGGCCUACCAAGGCGACGAUCUGUAGCGGGUCUGAGAGGAUGAGCCGCCACACCGGGACUGGGACACGGCCCAGAGUCCUACGGGAGGCAGCAGUGGGGAAUAUUGGACAAUGGGGGGAACCCUGAUCCAGCCAUGCCGCGUGUGUGAAGAAGGCCUUAUGGUUGUAAAGCACUUUAAGCGAGGAGGAGGCUCUUUUGGUUAACACCCAAGAUGAGUGGACGUUACUCGCAGAAUAAGCACCGGCUAACUCUGUGCCAGCCGCCGCCGUAA
rnacentral:rRNA from 1 species